UAGCACUGCUGCUCGGGGAUAACCGGUUUUAACCCAUGUACCGUUAGCUGUGUGUAGCACUAAGGUAAUGUCUGAAGUAGAUGUUCGUGCGGCUGCUCCAUCAUGAUAACUUGCCAGUUAGACCCGUCGAUAAUCACCGUAAAGGGGCUAAUAUCCCGGGAAAGCUCGAACUGCGGGCAGCGCGGCCCUGAUGCGGUUGGAUAUCCGACAUACAGGAACUUGAGGAUGGGAGCAGGUGGAGGGCAAGCGUCUUUAAGGCAAAGUCAACCAAGGAAAUUUCCUGUUAUACAACCUUUGAGCAGUGAGUAAGCGUGCUCCAUAAAUGUGCCAAAUUCAUUCAAAGAAGCUAGCCUAACGGUCCGUAAAAUGCUGAGCGCUGUCUGUGUUGUAGAGUCCAGGGACGCGAAACCUCAGCUGACUGGCUUCAUAAUUGGAGGGGAACACAGCAUGCCACUCGACAGUGGAAGUAAUGAUUGCUGAAGGUGGGCCUCCGCUACGCCUCCGCUGACUUUCCAUUACAAAUCAGUAAUGGGAAAUUAUCAGUGAAUCGACGCCUACUUUAACCAAAGAUGACAAGCUGGAGUUGCAAAACACCAACCCAGAGAGGGAUCUCAGCGGGAGGCGCUUUCUGUUAGAUAGAAAAUGUGUGAUGUUAGAGAGGACCAAAACUGUGAUUCCUCCACUGCCAAGAGACUACCAUGUGCACAGACCUGGUAACCUCCCAUCCUUCAGCCUCUCCAAGGAGCUUUCCCACAGCCACACAGGGCGACCCUUCACCCUGGGGUACCCUGAAAGCUAUAAACUGAACACAAAUCCAGCCGUCCUCAUUCCCUCAGCUUUAGUCCUCAGUGGCAGAAACACCUUUUCGGUUGAGAACUGCAAGCUUGGCAGGCCCAAGGUGAAAUAUCCAUCCUCCAACGUAAUGACUGUUAAAAACAAUCAGAAAAGCCAGUCCUAUCCGGACCCAAUAGCUGGAGCCUCUCGCUCUUACAUCCACAGGAUAUCUGAGCUGUCCUCUCUGGAGGGCGAGACGGUGAGGCAGGAAAAGCUCAAGAAAAUGAGAAAACCUCGAAAGACUCCAUCCUGACAAUCACCUCCUUCCCAGUCACACUGGUCGAGGUUAAAAACAUUCGAGUCUGUGCCAACGACAGAACAGAAUAAACCACUUAGGGCGCCAUGUUCAUUUCAGUGGCUCGUUCUGACUGCUUGUUUGUCCUCUGUGAUAUUAGUUUGCUGCUUGGUAUGGCUGGUGGUUACAUUCUGGGAUUCUUAAUUACGUGUAGUACGGACUUGCAACAAUAAAUGCCGGUGAUGAAUAUUAGGUAAACAUUUUCCAGUCUGACGCACAGCUGUCAGCAGUUUUCCACCCAGCACCUGCAUGCAGGAUAUUUAAUUUAGCUUUCUAAUGGCUCUUGUAUAAUGCGGCCAUAUUUCUUUCUGUAUCAUCUGUAUCAUAUUUCAUACGGUGUCCAUCUUUGGCCUCAUCGUUACCACAGUGUUUCAGACAUACAGCAUAUCUAAGCUUUGUUAAGUAAGUGAAAUAUUGACAUAUAUAGUAAAUAGUUUAGCAAAGCCAUAAUUGUGCCUUGUUAACUGUCUUCCUGAAAUUAAAUAAAUUUAUUUUUGUUAUUUUGAGGACCUUCCUUCAUGUGUAUAGCUUUUUUUUCACCACAUAUGUGGACCGUCACACCACUUUUUGGUGCAAACACUACAUAUAGACCACUACAAUUAG
ensembl:lncRNA